ensembl:lncRNA
GGAAGAGAGAUUUUAGCUUCAUGUGUCUGCCUUUUCUCACUCCUCAACAAGCUUGUUGUUAUUGAAAGGCUUUGUUAACCCCACAGGCUGAGUUAAACCUGGUUGUAUCCUGUACCAGCCCCACCGGAGGCAACGUGCUGAUAAAGGUUGUCUGAAUUCAUCCCACCUGACUUCCAGGUUUUAAGAUAGAACCCAAAGAUCACUGAACCACCAGUGGAAAGAAACAAGCUCUUCCCAAGAGCGAAUCAGGUUCUAUUCAUCAGUUGCAAGUUCUGUGCCAGGAUGCUGGCUCUUUGUCCUCACAGCUGGGGCAGCUCCCCACAGGCAGCUGGGAGGAGGCCUGGACAGAAGAGUGCAGCCUCUCCUAGGGCCUGCCUUCCUCUGGAGGAAAUCCUGGCUUCCAGGGAGGAAGAGAGCUGCACCAUGCUCCCAGAGAGACUGUGUGAAUUGUGAGGUGCACCACAAAGUUUGGUUGAUGCUUUGGUGGUGAGAUGUAGUUCAUAGAAAUCAGUGUAACGAUUCCUAAGACCCUUUAUGGCUCCAGACCCAUCUACCAGCAUCUUUUGCAGUUUCAAAAUAUGUUCCUUCUGAGCACCAGAGAAUCCCUGGAACGAGGAGUUGUGAGCACCUCACAUUGAUGCCUGCAGGGGAGAGGGAUCCCAUUGCUGUUCUGGCAAAAUGCAGUGGUGGUGGCAUUUUUCCUUUGCACAGUGACUUACUGAGUAGAAAGAAAAACCUGGAUGUCAACCCAGACAUGACAUCGGAUAUGGCUGUGAUGUCAUUCUAACCCAGGCUAGAUAAUCAUGCCCAAAUGUGUGAGGUAUGGGGAAAGGUAACUGAAAUGUUACCUGAAGUGAGUACCACGCAACAAUGAGAAUACAUAGCAUAUUUACUUUGAGGUUUGAAAAUAAAAAAUACUAGCAGCAAGCCAAUUUAGAAUAGCAUUUUUUUACAUCGAUAAAUAGUACAAGAUUUUUGUUGAAAAUAAUUAAGCACUGCAAUUGCACAUUAUCUUUACUGCAUGAAGAGAGAGGUUAGGCAUCUCCAAAGCUCUGGAAGAUUGUUCUGUCAUUAUGUCACAAUUGAUCAGUAUUUAAUUGUUUUGCUUGAGGAUUUUUUGCCUCUUCUCUACAUGAUGAUUUCUUUCGGCACACAAAUCAAAACUAUUUAUCAGCAAAAGUUACUAAUUUCUCUCAAAGAGAUUCCUUCUGAGUUUUCAUGCUGAGACACUGGUCUUGAUUAACUUUCUUCUGUAAUCUAUUGAGCUUCCGGUGGCUGAUUUAAGCAUUAAAUUUAUCCAGUUUAAGUACUGAUUACUGCAGACUAAAAGCUUCAUCCAUAUCAAAGACUUAUCCCCCCCACCCCCACCACCCCAAGGAAGAAAUUUAAAAGCCCGUUAAAAUGUCCUUCCUUUUUCCAAGAAUGUUACUGAAAUAACUUGGUGCUAAGAAUACAUGAGGUCUGUGUUGAGCUAAAAUCUGAAAGCUGGAACUGAGACAGAUGCCCCCAGAUAGUCCUAAAAAUCUUCAACCGGAUAUUCAGGUUUGAAAUCCGCUGCAAUCCAAAUACCACCACAGCCUGGGGCACUGAUAUUCAUCAUUCUAGUUCUAAUGAGCGCAAGGGGAGAAGGGAAUCAGCUGUAUUGGAUCUGAAUCCAAAUUCUCCUGAGGUGUCUUUGAAAUUUUGGGGGGAGAUGAGAUGGAAAGGAUGGUAAUGAAGUGAUAGUGAAGUAGCAAAAGUAAGUAAACGAUUAAGAUACGAAGGUAUAGUGACAACAGUAAAGCUGGAAGUGUGGAAAUAGUUUUCAUUUCUGAUACUCUCCCUGUAAAACCUCUUUUUCUAGUUUAUUAUCACAUUUUCUAUAUCUUUAUAGUUAGUAUGUAUCAUUUGGCUACAGAAGUACAUAAAAUAUUUGGAAUUAUUGAAUUCAUUUUUUUUAUGUACGUGACGUGACCAAAAGUGACCAUGGGGUUCUCCAAGGGAGCUUCAGAAGCCCUCACAACAACAAGAGCCUUUCUGAAGACUGCAGCAGAACUGGAGGCCCUUCUGCCAUGCUGUGUCAAGUGCAAUGGAGAUUACUAUACUUUCAGCCACUGAGGUUGGACUUAGAAGCCUAAAGCAUCAAGUUACCAGCCAAGUGAAAAGGCAGUUAUGUACAUAAUACCACAGAGAGACCCUCCUUGCACUCUAAGUUGUUCAGGUUUCCAGCUCUGGUCUGGGAGAUGUUUUGAGAAAAUGAUUGUAUUUGAAACAACAACUGUUGGAGCGGAGGGAGGCUCGGCUGUGCAACUGUUUUCAUCUGGCCGUACAGCAAAGCGUGUGUUCAGUCUUGCAGAAAUCGUAACCUAAAAAACAAAUAAACAACAACAAC